rnacentral:rRNA from 1 species
GAUGAACGCUGGCGGCGUGCCUAAUACAUGCAAGUCGAACGAGGUGCUUUUGUAGCAAUACGAGAGUAUCCUAGUGGCGAACGGGUGAGUAACGCGUUGGUGACCUACCCCAAAGUGUGGGAUAACAGUCCGAAAGGAUUGCUAAUACCGCAUGUGGUCUUCGGAUUUAGAAACUGAUGACUAAAGGAGCAAUUCGCUUUGGGAGGGACCUGCGUCCCAUCAGCUAGUUGGUGAGGUAAUGGCUCACCAAGGCUACGACGGGUAGGGGACCUGAGAGGGUGACCCCCCACAAUGGAACUGAAACACGGUCCAUACACCUACGGGUGGCAGCAGUAGGGAAUAUUGCACAAUGGGCGAAAGCCUGAUGCAGCAACGCCGCGUGUGCGAUGAAGGCCUUCGGUCGGUAAAGCACUUUUCUGGGAGAUGAGCAAGGACAGUAUCUCAGGAAUAAGU